UUCACGCCCACACCACCAACCUUGGAUCAGCCAUGAGAUCCAUCUGUGGAGGACACUGGAAACAUGCCGCACAGACGGCUGACAAGGCAACUUCCUAUAACUAUAUAACUUUCUCCCUUUAACGGCAAAGUUUCUUGUUUUAAUGAGAGACUUAUCUUGCUUAAACGACAUCAUUUUCGUCUCAUAACAACGCAACAUAACCCGGCAUCAGCUCGCGGGAUAUUUGAGUGUCAUGGAGAAGAGGAGAGACGGAGGGGCGCCUUUUAUUACUUUUUAAGAAGUCGUCAUUUGUCGGAGGAAUGUAUUUCUGCACUGAGGAGUGACAAGACUGACAUAUCAGCUAUAGCAAGCAUGGAUGAGAGCUUGGCCAUCUAUAUUCCCACCUAUGCUGACAGAAUUGCCACCCAGAGAUUUUGCUUCGAGUUCCAAGGAAAAGGUGAAAGAGAUGUCCUUCAACAGACGUGGCUUGAAAAACUCUUUACAUGCAAAUCUUCAUGGAAAAAGUCCAAUUUGAUCUAAAAUGUUUUUGGUUUCAGGUUAUAUCACUAUGUAAUAUAUUUAAAAAGAAAGCUUACCAUUUGACUCAAAAUGUGUUUUCAAGAACAUAUGGAAGUGAGCCACAAUAGAGUCAGUUAGCUUUUGUUUUUGUUGACAAAGAUAUAGAGCAAAAAUACUGAUUAAAAAGAUUACUCCAACAACA